UCCCAGGUGGCUCAAAUGAUAAGAGAAUCUGCCUGAAACCCAGGAGGUCCGGGUUCAGUCCCUGGAUUGGGAA
rnacentral:tRNA from 1 species